rnacentral:rRNA from 1 species
UACGUAGGGGGCUAGCGUUGUCCGGAAUCAUUGGGCGUAAAGAGCGCGUAGGCGGUCCGGUAAGUCCGCUGUGAAAGUCGGGGGCUCAACCCUCGAAUGCCGGUGGAUACUGUCGGGCUAGAGUGCGGAAGAGGCGAGUGGAAUUCCUGGUGUAGCGGUGAAAUGCGCAGAUAUCAGGAGGAACACCUAUUGCGAAGGCAGCUCGCUGGGACGUAACUGACGCUGAGACGCGAAAGCGUGGGGAGCAAACAGG